GACGUAGGGGGCCAGCGUUGCUCGGAAUUACUGGGCGUAAAGGGUUCGUAGGCGGUGUGGCAAGUCGGUAGUGAAAUCUCCAGGCUUAACUUGGAGGCUGCUGCCGAAACUGCCGUGCUAGAGUACGGGAGAGGCGAGUGGAAUUACAGGUGUAGCGGUGAAAUGCGUAGAUAUCUGUAGGAAUACCCGUGGCGAAGGCGGCUCGCUGGACCGUUACUGACGCUGAGGAACGAAAGCUAGGGGAGCAAACAGG
rnacentral:rRNA from 1 species